GAGCAACAACGAACAACCCAAAAGCCACAAGCAGACACAAAAAAACGCAACAAAUAUACGCUCAUUUGUACAUGC
rnacentral:ribozyme from 1 species